ACAUAGACUUCAUGCCGAGGAACAAUCGAUUUAAAUCAAAUUCAGAGAGUUCUAAAUCUAUUCAUAUCUGCAAACUUUUCAUUUCUUGCAAGGGCAAAAACAUAAAUUUAUUUGACCUAAGUUUUUUUUGGGUUCUCAAUGCUCUUUGCGACGGGGAAUAAUUAAUAUGUGUGGGUUUGGAACUACUGCUGAGCUUUUAGUUUUUUCAAAUCUCCAUUUGAUUUUUUUCUUCCACGGCGGGAUUCAAUCGGAGAACCUCCACUUUGUUGGUAGAAUGAGAAUUAAUGAGUGUAUCAAGCGUCGUCAAAGCCACGCAAGUAUUAUUUACAGUCUGUGAUUAGCAUUGCAGGUGGUUGGCAAAUGGGUUUGUAGAUACCAAUGCAAGAGAACGCACUACCAAUGAGGUCUCUAUUAGUACAGUGCUGGAGCUGCAGGUUUUGGUACAGUUAGGUAUGGAGCUGGUGACAUGAAUAACAUAGAAUUCAUGUCGAGGAACAACCAUUUUAAAUCAAAUUCAGAGACUUCUAAAUCUGUUGAUAUGUGCAAACUUUUCAUUUCUUGCGAGGGCAAAAACAUAAAUUUAUUUGACCGAAGUUUUUUUGUGUUCUCAAUGUUGUUUGCAAUGGAAUAUCCUUUGUAGGAAAUUUCUUCUUUUUAUAAUCAUGCAUAUCCUCUUUGAUAGAUUGGGAAGGAAGAUCCUUAUCAUCUAAAGCCUCAUCUUUACUUAAUGUAAUGUGGGGAGAUAGAUCAUAAAUGAAAUGCAUAACAUCAUCUUCUCUACAAAUGUUUUGAUGGUUUAGAUAAGCUCUAGGAGAAUAAGGGGGAUCUAGAGAGAUUGAAAUACCAACAUUUUGACCUUGCCCCCCAUGUGCUAGGUAUGUAUGAGAACAAGAUGGUGCCAUGUCGCUCUUCAAUGCUUUCUCUCCGUUAGAGAGAUCAUUGAUAGGAGUAUUAUCUCUUUCUUCAUUCACAUGAGAUACCCUAGGAGAGGUACAAGUAUUAGGUUUUUCGCUAGCAUCUUUAAGAUUAUGAUCUACAAAAGUUAUUGUAUAAUCUACUUAUGUAAUGCAUUUUCCUAAAAAUAUUACCA